UACGUAGGGUCCGAGCGUUGUCCGGAAUUAUUGGGCGUAAAGGGCUCGUAGGCGGUUUGUCACGUCGGGCGUGAAAACUCAGGGCUCAACCCUGAGCGUGCGUUCGAUACGGGCAGACUAGAGGUAUGCAGGGGAGAACGGAAUUCCUGGUGUAGCGGUGGAAUGCGCAGAGUAUCAGGAGGAACACCGGUGGCGAAGGCGGUUCUCUGGGCAUUACCUGACGCUGAGGAGCGAAAGCAUGGGGAGCGAACAGG
rnacentral:rRNA from 1 species